rnacentral:lncRNA from 1 species
AUCGCCACUGUGUCUCAAAAAAAAAACAAAAAAGAAAGAAAAUGAAUCUGCCACGCCAUUGCUUAGACCCUUUAAUGACUCUUGAGUGUUCUUGGGAUGAGGUCCAAAUUUACUAAUAAGGCCUGCAAAGCCCUGUGUAAUUUUGCUCCUAGUUAUGGCUGGCAUCUGCACCACAACUACAGCCACUGCCACCUCCCCCUGCCACACACACAUUUUAAAAGUAACAAUAGUAGUGUUUUCUGUGUUUUGCAUAUGCAGUCUUUUCUCAUCUCCCAGCCUUCUUGAGCUUUUCCUCUGCCUGAGAUACGCUCCCACUCACAUAGACAUUGGGGGCACUAAAUAAAAAUAGCUGUUUAAUUGAAUUGGAAUCGUUCCACUUGGAACCCAAGUUUGGAAAUUUUGCUACUUCUUGUUAAGCUAGGCCUUUUAUUCUUGAAGUUGCUAUUUCUCAUACAAACUCAUUUUAUGCAUUAGACACACAGUCACUAUUGUUAUGGAGAACAUAGUUGUAUCAGAAGAGGUAUAGCUUUGGGUGUGGAUGUGCGUGUGUCAGGGGAAAGAUAUUCUGAUUAUAUGAUGAUUUUCAUAAAAUAUAGUAUGCUGAGUUUCCGAAAAUCCUAAAUGACUUAGAAAUGGUGCUAUAUGUGGUUUGUUUGACCCCUGCAAAUCUCAUGUUGAAAUUUGAUCCCCAUUGCUGGAGGUGUUUUGAGCAUGGAGCGGAUCCCUCAUGAAUGUCUUGGCGUUGUCCUUGCAGUAAUGAGUUCUUGCUCUAUUUUUCCUCCCCUGGAAGCUGAUUGUUUAAAAGAGCCUGGUAUCCUCCCUCCCUUUCUUCUUUGCUUCCUCUCUCUUGCUGUGUGAUCUCUGCACACACCAGCUCCCCUUUGCUUUCUGCCAUGAGUGGUCUGAGGCUCUCACCAGAAGCCAAGCAGAGGCUGGCACCAUGCUUCUAGUACAGCCUGCAGAACUGUAAGCCAAAUAAACUUCUUCUUUGUUUUUUUUUUUUGUUUGUUUUGUUUUUUUUUCAGUAAAUUACCCAGCCUCAGGUAUUCCUUAACAACACAAAUGGGCUAAGACACAGGGUCAUAGGGAUAGCAGGCACCUGAGCCAAGCCAGAACUUAGAUCUCAACUGUUAAUGCAGGAUGAUUUGUAUUGAACCAUGAAUUUUACACUGCCUCUCAAUGUUGGUGUCAGCAUUUAAGGUUAUUUAAAAAAUACAACCUGAAGGUUACAUAAAGUUUCAUUUAAAAAAUAAGACCUUAUAAGUCUACUUUUAUUUCCAGUGGACAGCAACUACUUAAUCGUCUUAAAACUUUCUUCUUACAAUAUUACUUUACAAUAUUACCUGUUGGAUUUAUUAUCUGUGUACAAAUCAGUUAGUUGAAGGGCCAAAGAAUAAAGGCAUUUUGUGAAUUAUGAAUAGCUAUUUUGAAAUGGUCAUGGAGACUAGCUACUCUAGAAAAUUGGGAGAAUAUACUGUAUUAAGUUACUAUCUGGUAUAACUUCAAUUAAUUGUGAAAAUUGUAGCAGAGAUCUAGAUAUAGUUUAUGAACUUCUAAAGAGACAUUAAAGGGAAUUCAAGUACUUGUGUAAAGAUGAACCAAGGUAGAGAUGAUUGUGAAUUGGUGAUCUGCUGUAUGUUACAGUUAUGUAAUUUGACUUGUUUCAAAAUUAUUAAAGUUUUAAGUGUAUGCAUUCUACUGGUCAAUAAGUAAAUAUAUUCAGGCUCUGAAUGUAGACAGAUAAAUAUAUAAAUAUAGAAAGUACAUUUGUUAGAAUACAAACAAGAAUAAAAAUUGAGUACAGAAUGAAAACCUUAUUAAAUUUUAUCACUCCA